GACGAACGCUGGCGGCGUGCUUAACACAUGCAAGUGGAGCGACGAACCAGGGCUUGCCCUGGGGCAGAGCCGCGAACGGGUGAGUAACACGUGGGUAACCUACCCCGAUGACCGGGACAACCCGAGGAAACUCGGGCUAAUACCGGAUUUUCUCACUUCCUCCAAGGGAAGUGAGUAAAGAUAGCUUCGGCCUUCGCAUCGGGACGGGCCCGCGGCCCAUUAGCUUGUUGGUGAGGUAACGGCUUACCAAGGCGACGAUGGGUAGCUGGUCUGAGAGGACGAUCAGCCACACUGGGACUGAGACACGGCCCAGACUCCUACGGGAGGCAGCAGUGGGGAAUCUUGCGCAAUGGGCGAAAGCCUGACGCAGCAACGCCGCGUGGGGGAAGAAGGCCUUCGGGUUGUAAACCCCUUUCAGUUGGGACGAAGCUUCGAGGGUUAAUAGCCCUCUGGAGUGACGGUACCUUCAGAAGAAGCCCCGGCUAACUACGUGCCAGCAGCCGCGGUAAUACGUAGGGGCUAGCGUUGUCCGGAAUCAUUGGGCGUAAAGCGCGUGUAGGCGGUCCGGUAAGUCCGCUGUGAAAGUCGGGGGCUCAACCCUCGGAUGCCGGUGGAUACUGUCGGGCUUGAGUACGGAAGAGGCGAGUGGAAUUCCUGGUGUAGCGGUGAAAUGCGCAGAUAUCAGGAGGAACACCAAUUGCGAAGGCAGCUCGCUGGGACGUUACUGACGCUGAGACGCGAAAGCGUGGGGAGCAAACAGGAUUAGAUACCCUGGUAGUCCACGCUGUAAACGAUGGGCACUAGGUGUGGGGGGUGUCGACUCCCUCCGUGCCGAAGCUAACGCAUUAAGUGCCCCGCCUGGGAGUACGGCCGCAAGGCUAAAACUCAAAGGAAUUGACGG
rnacentral:rRNA from 1 species